GACGAACGCUGGCAGCGUGCCUAAUACAUGCAAGUAGAACGCUGACGAGAGGAGCUUGCUCUUCUUGGAUGAGUUGCGAACGGGUGAGUAACGCGUAGGUAACCUGCCUUGUAGCGGGGGAUAACUAUUGGAAACGAUAGCUAAUACCGCAUAACAAUGGAUGACACAUGUCAUUUAUUUGAAAGGGGCAAUUGCUCCACUACAAGAUGGACCUGCGUUGUAUUAGCUAGUAGGUGAGGUAACGGCUCACCUAGCCGAGGAUACAUAGCCGACCUGAGAGGGUGAUCGGCCACACUGGGACUGGGACACGGCCCAGACUCCUACGGGAGGCAGCAGUAGGGGAUCUUCGGCGAUGGGGGCAAUCCUGACCAAGCAACGCCGCGUGAGUGAAGAAGGUUUUCGGAUCGUAAAGCUCUGUUGUAAGUCAAGAACGGGUGUGAGAGUGGAAAGUUCACACUGUGACGGUAGCUUACCAGAAAGGGACGGCUAACUACGUG
rnacentral:rRNA from 1 species